GCCAGGUGUGGUGGCUCAUGCCUGUAAUCCUAGCACUUUGGGAGGCUGAGGAAGGAGGAUCCCUUGAGCCCAGGAGUUCAAGACCAGCCUGGGCAACAUAGGGGGACCCUGUCUCUU
ensembl:misc_RNA Metazoa_SRP Metazoan signal recognition particle RNA